CUGUAAUGGCAAGUAAUGACACGAAACAGUUUCAAUAGAUAUAUUCUCAAAACAGAAUGAUUGUCAUAGUGAUUGUCAGUUUAAAUAAACAUCAAGAGUCGAAUAGUUGUUUUGUAAAAGCAACAACAUGCGAAAAAGAAAUAAAAAUACAACCAGUGGGACAUAGUGGCUAGAGAUAUAGAGCCUGUCUAAUGAACCUUAGGUAUCAAGUUCAAAUCUUCAGAGAUUCAAAUUGCAAAAUUUUUUGGGGGGAUUCUAGGAUGUUCCUGAACCCACCAAAUUCAAAUGAGAAAACUAAAGAUUGCUAUUUCUAAUACUGCUAAUUCAAAAUAGAAGAAAAUUCUUGUUAGAGAAUAAGCCUUGGUUUUUAAAGGAGCAUUCUUGACUCAACAUUCAUGUCCCUCAUUCCAGGACUUGACCAAACGUUAAUAAAAGACACAAUAUGCCUAGUAAAAUCAAAUAGGGUUUUUAAAAAAAAGCAACUUAACAUAAAUUUUCUGUUUUACAGAACACAGCAUGUCAACCAGAUGGGGUGUUACUGUAAGCCCUGCACUGGGACCAGAUGGGGUGUAACUGUAAGCCCUGCACUGGAACCAGCUGGGGUGCUACUGUAAGUCCUGCACUGGGAUCUAGCACAUCACACAGCAUCCAGCAAACAGGAAUUGUCUUAAAGUCAAGAAGACAAUGGUGUAGACAUUUUUGAUGCUAUUCAAUACAAAGAGGAGAGGCGACAGACGAAAGGAAUGGACGGGCCUGACAAAAAACAGGAAUGGAAAGAGACAGUUUCAGAUCAUGUGUGGUGCCCCAAAAGUCCAACAGACUAAGGGAUAGUUCAAGGUGAUAGAUAAUGCAAGCAUUAAAAAAAAAAGGCUCAGUCAUACACAUAACAAAGAGAUCAAGUAAUCCAUUAAACAAAAACGUCAAUAAUUUUGGGUAAACUUUAGUCUCACAUUUUCAGUAAGUUUUUCUAAAAUGACAAUGUCGAAUUCUAAUAUAUUAAAGACUUGCCCCCCCC
rnacentral:sRNA from 1 species